rnacentral:rRNA from 1 species
UACAGAGGUCUCAAGCGUUGUUCGGAUUCAUUGGGCGUAAAGGGUGCGUAGGCGGCGCGGUAAGUCGGGUGUGAAAUCUCGGAGCUUAACUCCGAAACUGCAUUCGAUACUGCCGUGCUUGAGGACUGGAGAGGAGACUGGAAUUUACGGUGUAGCGGUGAAAUGCGUAGAUAUCGUAAGGAAGGCCGGUGGCGAAAGCGAGCCUCUGGACAGUUACUGACGCUGAUGCACGAAGGCCAGGGGAGCAAACGGG